CCUACGGGGGGCAGCAGUGAGGAAUAUUGGUCAAUGGUCGGGAGACUGAACCAGCCAAGCCGCGUGAGGGAGGAAGGUACAGAGUAUCGUAAACCUCUUUUGUCAGGGAACAAAGACUGGGACGCGUCCCCGGAUGAGUGUACCUGAAGAAAAAGCAUCGGCUAACUCCGUGCCAGCAGCCGCGGUAAUACGGAGGAUGCGAGCGUUAUCCGGAUUUAUUGGGUUUAAAGGGAGCGCAGGCGGUCUGUUAAGUCAGGGGUCAAAAGCCGGGGCCCAACCCCGGCCCGCCCGUUAAAACGGGCAGUCUCGAGUUGGAGAGAAGUAUGCGGAAUGCGCGGUGUAGCGGUGAAAUGCAUAGAUAUCGCGCAGAACUCCGAUUGCGAAGGCAGCAUGCCGGCUCCACACUGACGCUGAGGCACGAAAGCGUGGGUAUCGAACAGGAUUAGAUACCCGGGUAGUC
rnacentral:rRNA from 1 species